rnacentral:lncRNA from 1 species
AGAAAAAGACAGACUGAACAAAAAGCUUUGGACUGCUUGUGGGACAGCUGAGCAUGUUCUUUCAGUCUUCUCCCCAGAGAAUGCAAGCAACCAUUGAAGCCAUUUCCAGGGGUGACAAAGUGACUGAGGAGCCUAAACCUGUACUUUAGAAGUGGCUUAGGGCCUCAGUGUUGACCCAGACGCAGAAGCGGCUCGGUGAAGUCUGGCUGAUCACCACUCAGCUUCCUCAGUGUCGACGGGGGAGACUCUGCAAAGCCAAUGUUGCCAGGCUGCUCAAACCUUUUGUCUCCAGCAGUCCCACUUCUGCUGUGGGGAGGGCGGUAAGCACCACCACCACUAACCCUUGCUCCAGACAUUCAGGGGGAUUCCUGUGACUUUUGGUUUCGUCUGAGGUCAUCGGCAUGAGGUGGUGGGAAGUCCAUGGUGAGUGUCUUGAGGUGAAAUGGGGUGAAAGUAGAGCCUG